rnacentral:rRNA from 1 species
UACGGAGGGUGCGAGCGUUGUCCGGAAUCAUUGGGCGUAAAGGGCGCGUAGGUGGCUUCUUAAGCGUGCGGUGAAAGCCUGGGGCUCAACCCCGGGUCGGCCGUGCGAACUGGGGGGCUGGAGCACUGUAGAGGCAGGCGGAAUUCCGGGUGUAGCGGUGGAAUGCGUAGAUAUCUGGAGGAACACCGGUGGCGAAGGCGGCAUCCUGGACCGGUAUUGACGCUGAGGCGCGAAAGCUAGGGGAGCAAACGGG